rnacentral:rRNA from 1 species
UACGUAGGGUGCAAGCGUUGUCCGGAAUUAUUGGGCGUAAAGAGCUCGUAGGCGGUUUGUCGCGUCUGCUGUGAAAUCUGGGGGCUCAACCCCCAGCCUGCAGUGGGUACGGGCAGACUAGAGUUCGGUAGGGGAGACUGGAAUUCCUGGUGUAGCGGUGAAAUGCGCAGAUAUCAGGAGGAACACCGGUGGCGAAGGCGGGUCUCUGGGCCGAUACUGACGCCGAGGAGCAAAAGCGUGGGGAGCGAACAGG